AAUAGUUCUAAGAGGGAAGUUCAUAGCAAUACACCUACAUUCAGAAGCAAGAAAGAUCCCAAAUAAACAACCUAAGUG